AACGGGCCUUCGGGUGCCGACUAGUGGCGAUCUCCUGAGUAACGCAUCGGAACGUGCCAUUGAGUGGGGGAUAACUAUCCGAAAGGAUAGCUAAUACCGCAUAUUCUGUGCGCAGGAAAGCAGGGGAUCGCAAGACCUUGUGCUCUUUGAGCGGCCGAUGUCAGAUUAGCUAGUUGGUGGGGUAAAGGCCCACCAAGGCGACGAUCUGUAGCGGGUCUGAGAGGAUGAUCCGCCACACUGGGACUGAGACACGGCCCAGACUCCUACGGGAGGCAGCAGUGGG
rnacentral:misc_RNA from 1 species